rnacentral:tRNA from 1 species
CANGAAGUAGUUCAGUGGUAGAACACCACCUUGCCAAGGUGGGGGUCGCGAGUUCGAACCUCGUCUUCCGCUCCA